rnacentral:rRNA from 1 species
GAUGAGCCCGCGUCCGAUUAGCUAGUUGGUGGGGUAAAGGCCUACCAAGGCGACGAUCGGUAGCUGGUCUAAGAGGAUGAUCAGCCACAUUGGGACUGAGACACGGCCCAAACUCCUACGGGAGGCAGCAGUGGGGAAUAUUGGACAAUGGGCGCAAGCCUGAUCCAGCCAUGCCGCGUGAGUGAUGAAGGCCCUAGGGUUGUAAAGCUCUUUCACCGGGGACGAUAAUGACGGUACCCGGAGAAGAAGCCCCGGCUAACUUCGUGCCAGCAGCCGCGGUAAUACGAAGGGGGCUAGCGUUGUUCGGAAUUACUGGGCGUAAAGCGCACGUAGGCGGACAUUUAAGUCAGGGGUGAAAUCCCGGGGCUCAACCCCGGAACGGCCUUUGAUACUGGGUGUCUUGAGUUCGGAAGAGGUGAGUGGAAUUGCGAGUGUAGAGGUGAAAUUCGUAGAUAUUCGCAGGAACACCAGUGGCGAAGGCGGCCCCCUGGACAAAGACUGACGCUCAGGUGCGAAAGCGUGGGGAGCAAACAGGAUUAGAUACCCUGGUAGUCCACGCC